GGGAAAGGGAGCUGCUUACAUUGAUUUUUCAAAGAUGGAGAAGUAAUAUUGAAACAUUUACUAACUAUCAGAGGCUGAGGAUCUCUCUUUUGGCUGCUGCUGCUACUGACAGCCACUGCUUAACCAGUCUUGCAACAACCCAUACUGUACUGGCGGAAGGCUGCCUAGCGGUUUAGGAGUGGUUCCUGAUGCAGGAGUUUGACCUGUGGCCGAAAAGUGGAAUUGAUCUGACAAUUGGAGGGCUGCUGCACUGCAGCUUGAACAUAUGCUCGUCUCAACUAUAUGUGUGAGGUCUGCUGUUUAUGGGGGUUGAGAAUGGAGCAGAAGACACAUUUUUGUUGUUCAUUGUAACUAAUGGGCAAAGUUGUAUUGGAUUGCAUUGUAUUGUAUUCUAAAGAAGUCAUCCAGAGUUGACAUGGGCCAUCAUUCAAACAAAGAGAUGUCUCCCUGGCCACCAGUGCAAAUUUUCAAACUAUGUUUGAAUAUAAUGACAAUACAUUCCUAAAACUAUGCUGGUAUAUUUUUUUCCGUUAUUGAAUAGUUUAUUAAAUGAUGCUGUUAGUUAAAAAAUAUUACUAUUUAAUAGUAGCAGCCAUAAUUCAUAAAAUGGCACCAUGCAGGAUUCUAUAUGGAAUCAUUUAGGUUCAGUGAAGAAGAACCAUUAGGGUUCUGACCAAAGAACCCUAUGAAAUGGUUCUGUAUAGAACUUUUAGAGGUUCCAUAUAUGAAGCAAGAGAUAGAACCCUUUUUGGUUCGUUAAGGAACUUUUUUUCUAAGUUUGUGAGAAACCUGUUGAAACUAGCUGUCAGUGGACUGACAAAUGGUGUAUGGUCCCAGAAGGCCAGACCCACUCUGGUUU
rnacentral:lncRNA from 1 species